UGACGGUACCUGGAGAAAAAGCAACGGCUAACUACGUGCCAGCAGCCGCGGUAAUACGUAGGUUGCAAGCGUUGUCCGGAUUUACUGGGUGUAAAGGGCGUGUAGGCGGAGCUGCAAGUCAGAUGUGAAAUCCCGGGGCUUAACCCCGGAACUGCAUUUGAAACUGUAGCCCUUGAGUAUCGGAGAGGCAAGCGGAAUUCCUAGUGUAGCGGUGAAAUGCGUAGAUAUUAGGAGGAACACCAGUGGCGAAGGCGGCUUGCUGGACGACAACUGACGCUGAGGCGCGAAAGCGUGGGGAGCAAACAGGAUUAGAUACCCUG
rnacentral:rRNA from 1 species